ensembl:lncRNA
ACUUCAGGGAGAUGUCCCACCAUUACUCCAACCAGUGAAGUGCUGGUAAACUGGCUCUCAGAAACAUUAUUUAUGGACUUCUCUGGUGGUCCAGUAGUUAAGAAUCCACCUGACAAUGCAGGGGACACAGGUUUGAUUCCUGGUCUGUGAAAAUCCCACAUGCCUCAGGGUAAUGAAGCCUACGUGCCCCAACUACUGAACCUGUGCUCUAGAGUUCAUGCUCUGCAACAAGAGGAGCCAUUGCAAAGAGAAGCCCACACAACUGCAACUCGAGAGUAGACCCCGCUCACCAAAACUAGAGAAAGCACACACACAGCAACGAAGACCCAGUGCUGCCAAAAUAAAUAAAUAAGUAAUUAAUUUAAUUAUUUGUAAGCAUUUGUCAGUUUCUAUACUGUAAAUACUUUCAACACGGCCUGUUUCCUAGCUUAACAUCACUGAAUGCAGACUUGAAAGGAGAUGUGCACACUUGCUAUAGCACAGCACCGGACUUUCCCUAACUUGUAAUGCCCCAAACCAAAUCCACCAUCUUUGCUCCAAUCCUAGUUAAUAGCACUUCACUCACCAGUAUAUCCAGGCUAGAAACGUAAGAGUCAGCCUCAGUGGAAUAUGAGGUAUUCCUCAGUUGUCUCCUGCUUACUCCUGUGCCUUUGCUGGUGCUGCUGCCUCAGACUACACUGUGUCAUGUGUUCACAGCUUCAAGUCUGAGCUCAAACAUGGAAUCUGUUGAUAAGCCUCCCUGACUUGACUCUCCAGUUGGAAGUAGUCACUUUUUCCUCUGUAAUCAUACUAAGUAUUUUUUCUUUAAGUAGAAACAUCUAAAUUUGGUACAUUAAAAGCAAACCCAGAUUUCUCAACGUGAGUAAAGAAAGAAGAGCUCCACCUGUAGGGUGUGAAGAUGGGUCUGAAGUUCUGAGCUCUGGUCUGCAGUCAUUCACCUUCCUCCCAGGAGGAUUUCAUAUGGGUCUUCUUUCCUUAAUUCUGUCAUCACAGUCCAAUCAAGAUUGGAACUUUAAAACAAAGCAUUCGAACAAACUCAGGAGAGACAGGAAGGAAACAAAGGACUUUGCAUGGAUCAGCUCAGUGGCCCACUCCAGCAUGAAGGAUGGUGUUUUACUCAUCUCUAAACCACUCAUAUAGCCAGGACAUGGAAGCAACCUAGAUGCCCGUCAGCAGAUGAAUGGGUAAGAAAGAUAUGGUACAUAUACACAAUGGAGUAUUACUCAGCCAUUAAAACGAAUACAUUUGAAUCAGUUCUAAUGAGAUGGAUGAAACUGGAACCUAUUAUACAGAGUGAAGUAAUCCAGAAAGAAAAACACCAAUACAGUAUACUAACGCAUAUAUAUGGAAUUUAGAAAGAUGGUAACAAUAACCCUGUGUACGAGACAGCAAAAGAGACACCGAUGUAUAGAUCAGUCUUAUGGACUCUAUGGGAGAGGGAGAGGGUGGGGAGAUUUGAGAAUAGCAUUGAAACAUGUAUAAUAUCAUGUAUGAAACGAGUCGCCAGUCCAGGUUCGAUGCACGAUACUAGAUGCUUGAGGCUGGUGCACUG